UCCCUCUUUUUCCCUCUUUUUUCUUCCUUCCUUUUCUUCCCUUUCUCUUAUUCUUCCUUUUAAUUCUAACUUGAAAUCCCCGGGCUCAACCCGGGAACUGCGUCCGAUACUGGCAGGCUUGAAUUCGGGAGAGGGAUGUGGAAUUCCAGGUGUAGCGGUGAAAUGCGUAGAUAUCUGGAGGAACACCGGUGGCGAAGGCGGCAUCCUGGACCGAUAUUGACGCUGAUGCGCGAAAGCCAGGGGAGCAAACGGG
rnacentral:rRNA from 1 species